CUCCCGCCUGCCUCGCCUUGCCGGCGUUUGACGAUAGACUCAACUGCUUGCCGGCGAGGCCCGUUCAGAGGCCUCCGGCGCAAUGUCAGGCUUUCUUGUCUAAGCCUGUCGAUUGUAACUCCUUUAACUGCAAAUCGUUUGUUCCUUCACCAACAUCACCUUCACCUGUAACUCCUUCACCUCCAUCACCUGGUACACCUUCACCUAUAACUCCUUCGCCGUUACCUUCGCCUUCAUCGCCACCUUCACCUGUAACUCCUUCACCCCCAUCACCUGGUACACCUUCACCCGGAACUCCUUCACCUCCAUCACCUGGGACUCCUUCGCAUCCAUCACCUGGGACACCUUCACCUGUAACUCCUUCGCCUUCAUCGCCUCCUUCACCUGCUACUCCUUCACCAUUACCUUCACCUACAACACCUUCACCACUGCCUACACCUCCAGCGCCUGCAACACAUCCUUCGCCACCGAACCCACUGGUACCUACACCUCCUUCGGAACCACCGGUGGUCGGACAUUCCCCUCCACCAGGACCGGUGGCACCUUCCCCACUACCACCCGUUCAUACUCCUCCUUCUCCGGUGUAUUUGCCACCACCACAUUCUUCCCCUGCUCCACCUGUCUACUCUCCACAACCUCCAACACCUUCAC
rnacentral:lncRNA from 1 species